GGUUUCCGUAGGUGACCUGCGGAAGGAUCAUUGUCGAUGCCUGCAAAGUAGACCCGGCGAACUCGUUAAAAUAUGCGUGGGGGUUUGAGAAGGGGCGCGCGAGCCCCCCCGACACACUCCCCCACCCCCCGGGACUUGGCCCGGGUUCCCCUUGCGGGGACUCGGCCAAGGCUCCCGACAACGAACCCCGGCGCUGUCUGCGCCAAGGAACCUUAACCGAAGAGCUGGCCCCCCGGUGUCCCGUUCGCGGUGUGCACGGGGGGCGUACGCAUCUUUCGAAUCUAAAACGACUCUCGGCAACGGAUAUCUCGGCUCUCGCAUCGAUGAAGAACGUAGCGAAAUGCGAUACUUGGUGUGAAUUGCAGAAUCCCGUGAACCAUCGAGUUUUUGAACGCAAGUUGCGCCCAAAGCCAUUAGGCUAAGGGCACGUCUGCCUGGGCGUCACGCAUCACGUCGCCCCCAACCCCGACAAUGCCCGGCUGGCAGCCGGAUAUUGCGGGAGUUGCGGGCGGAGAUUGGCCUCCCGUCCACGACCGUGCGCGGUUGGCCCAAAAAGCGAGUUCUUGACGACGGACGUCACGACGAGUGGUGGUUGGAAGACCUCUUGCGUCGAGUCGUGAGGCACCCGAGUCUGUAACGAGCUCUGACCGCGACCCUGUGCGCCUUCCUUAGGGGGCGGCGCUCCGACCGCGACCCCA
rnacentral:misc_RNA from 1 species